rnacentral:rRNA from 1 species
AGAGUUUGAUCAUGGCUCAGAACGAACGCUGGCGGCAUGCCUAAUACAUGCAAGUCGAACGAUCACUUCGGGUCUAGUGGCGCACGGGUGCGUAACGCGUGGGAAUCUGCCCUUCGGUUCGGAAUAACUCAGGGAAACUUGAGCUAAUACCGGAUGAUGACUUCGGUCCAAAGAUUUAUCGCCGAGGGAUGAGCCCGCGUCGGAUUAGCUAGUUGGUGAGGUAAUGGCUCACCAAGGCGUCGACGGGUAGCCGGCCUGAGAGGGUGACCGGCCACACUGGGACUGAGACACGGCCCAGACUCCUACGGGAGGCAGCAGUGGGGAAUAUUGCACAAUGGGCGCAAGCCUGAUGCAGCAACGCCGCGUGCGGGAUGACGGCCUUCGGGUUGUAAACUCCUGUCGACUGGGACGAAAGUAGUCCGAUCCAAUACAUCGGGCUAUCGACUGUACCGGUGGAGGAAGCCACGGCUAACUCUGUGCUAGCAGCCGCGGUAAUAC